rnacentral:misc_RNA from 1 species
AACCAUAGAAACCUGCGGAGUACCUGCGGAAGGAUCAUUAAAAAGAGUGUGUACCCCCCUGUAAAAUGGGUGGGUUACCUCCCGUCCUUUGUUGACCUCUUAGGAGGUUAUUUUGAACUUUUCUGCUUCGGUGGGGUUAAACCUACCGGAACACCCUCAAAUUCUGAUCAUUUAAAAAUUGUUCAGUCCGAUUUUUGUUAAUAAAAACAAAAAACUUUUAACAAUGGAUCUCAGAUCGGA